UCAUUUUUAUACGCCCGUCUAUGACGGGACGUAUUAUGGUAUACCCCGCGUCCGUCCGUCCGUCUGUUAAUGUCGUACGCUACGUCAAAUAUCCUUUGACAGAUUUUCUUCAAAUUUUAACACAAUCUUAAUAUUGAUAAACCCUGAUCCCCUUUCGUUUUUGACGGAAUUCUGAAUUGUCGUUCCAGAGUUAUGGGACUUUGUUCGUCAAAAUUUCGUGAUUUCAUUGAAUGUCCUACUGUAGCUAUAUAAAAAUGUUAAAGUUGUUAUAACUUUGGUAUGCUUGGACCUAGAGUCUUGAAACUUGACAUGAAGGUUGGCCAGAACUAGUAAGUAACCACUGGACAUUUCAAGGUCAUUCAUUUGAAGGUCAAGGUCACUGUGACCUUGAAUGUAAAAAUGUUAAAGUUCUUAUUUCAUGUUAUAACUUUGGUAUGCUUGUACCUAGAGUCUUCAAACUUGAAAUAAAGAUUGGCCAGUACUAGAAGAUGACCACUGGUCAUUUCAAUGUCAUUCAUUUGAAGGUCAAGGUCACUGUGACCUUAAAUGUUAAAAUUGUUAUAACUUUGGUAUGCUUGGACAUAGAGUCUUCAAACUUGACAUGAAGGUUUGCAAGCACACUUAGAUGACCACUGGUCAUUUCAAGGUCAUUCAUUCUAAGGUCAAGGUCACACAAGUUCACUGUGACCUUAAAUGUUAAAAUGUUAAAAUUGUUAUAACUUUGGUAUGCUUGGACAUAGAGUCUUCAAACUUGACAUGAAGGUUUGCAAGCACACUUAGAUGACCACUGGUCAUUUCAAGGUCAUUCAUUCUAAGGUCAAGGUCACUGUGACCUUAAAUGUUAUUGUUGUUCAUGUAUCCUACCGUAGCUCAAAUAUCCCCCGAUGGAUUUUUUAUACGCCCGUCUAUGACGGGACGUAUUAUGGUAUACCCCGCGUCCGUCUGUCCGUCCGUCCGUCCGUCCGUCUGUUAAUGUCGUACGCUACGUCAAAUAUCCUUUGACAGAUUUUCUUCAAAUUUUAUUGAUAAACCCUGAUCCCCUUUCGUUUUUGACGGAAUUCUGAAUUGUCGUUCCAGAGUUAUGGGACUUUGUUCGUCAAAAUUUCGUGAUUUCAUUGAAUGUCCUACUGUAGCUCAAAUAUCCUUCGAUGGAUUUUUUUCAAAUUUCAACACAAUCUUAAUAUUGAUAAACCCUGAUCCCCUUUCGUUUUUGACGGAAUUCUGAAUUGUCGUUCCAGAGUUAUGGGACUUUGUUCGUCAAAAUUUCGUGAUUUCCAUGCUCAUGUACUUAUAAAAUAAACCAUGUAUUCAAAUACAAAUAAACUGAAGUAAAAAAAUGA